UAAGACAUGCAAGUCGAACGAAGAAUCUCAAUAGCUUGCUAAUGAGAUUCUUAGUGGCGGACGGGUUAGUAACACGUGAGAUACCUACCCUUUAGACAGGAAUAGCCCAUGGAAACGUGGAAUAAUACCUGAUAGUCUCUACGGAGUAAAUGAUGCCUUCGGGUGUCGCUAAAGGAUGGGCUCGCGGCCUAUCAGUUUGUUGGUGAGGUAAAGGCUCACCAAGACUACGACGGGUAGCUGGUCUGAGAGGACGAUCAGCAACACUGGAACUGAGACACGGUCCAGACACCUACGGGUGGCAGCAGUCGAGAAUCAUUCACAAUGGAGGAAACUCUGAUGGUGCAACGCCGCGUGGAGGAUGACGGCCCUAGGGUUGUAAACUCCUGUCAUUGGGGAGUAAGACUUAUGCGUUAAGAGCGUGUAAGUUUGAUAGUACCCAAAGAGGAAGGGACGGCUAACUUCGUGCCAGCAGCCGCGGUAAUACGAAGGUCCCAAGCGUUGUUCGGAAUAACUGGGCGUAAAGCGUGUGUAGGCUGCGCGGAAAGUCAAAUGUGAAAGCCAAGGGCUCAACCCUUGAACUGCAUUCGAUACUCCCGUGCUAGAGUAAUGGAGAGGUAAGUGGAAUUCCUGGUGUAGCAGUGAAAUGCGUGGAUAUCAGGAGGAACAUCAAUGGCGAAGGCAACUUACUGGACAUUUACUGACGCUCAGACACGAAGGCUAGGGGAGCGAAAGGGAUUAGAUACCCCUGUAGUCCUAGCAGUAAACGGUGCUCGCUUGGUGUGGGAGGAUUCGACCCCUUCUGUGCCGGAGCUAACGCGUUAAGCGAGCCGCCUGGGAAGUACGGUCGCA
rnacentral:rRNA from 1 species